UGUGCCACGUAGGACUGGCAAGCAGGCUUAGAAAAUUAAUGAGACACAGCAUCCGAGUGUUGGCUGCAUUGAUAACAGAGCUGUAGUUCUGUCUGUGGGCAGCACAGAAUGGAAGGAGGUGCCAAGGAGAAACAAGAACUGGCUCUCAUCUCAUUAAUGUCUCUUUGGCUGCAAUCUUAUAACCACUUGUCCAGGACUAGACCUUAUAGCAUUACACCACUGGUAUCUCAAAGAAAGCCCUGCAAGGGAUUCAGAAGUGGAGCUCUAUAGCCCAAUGUCAUACGAGGCAGAUGGCUCAUCUGGAUCAACACCUGGAUCCUUUUUCUCAAACCCCUCUCAACAUUUGUUCCUUGCACAUUUGUUUGCCUGACAGAUACCUCCAGAGUUGGCAUGACAGGCAUAAAAACAGGUUGCUGUUAUUCCACGGAGCAGAAGUGCCUAUUCUGUCUCUGUGUUGUUGAUGGCAGAUGGUCUCUUCUCUUGGUUCACUCUACCCAUCAUUCCAUAACUGGUCUGUAUUGACUGUUCUACUGCUGUUUUGUGCAGAACAGCUGCCCUGUUGCUGACAGCACUGUGUCAUAAGCAAUACAUUUGGAAGGAUUUUCUCUUUUGGCAAUCAUUCGUGCCUUGAAUUCAUGUCAUCUGAAGCCACGUGCUGGAGAAAGAUGUGGAAAGAGUGACACUGCCUGGCGUUUGAUAGGAAGCUGACCACGAAUAGACAGGAAAGAAUUGUAUAGCUAAGUCUGGACGUAUCUGUGAUGUUCUGGGACAUUCCUAACAGACAUAAUGCUGAUGAGUUACAAGGAAAACAUCUGUAUGGCCAGUUGUGGUAUUAUGAAGGAAAUUCAUUCAAGGAAGAAGGGGGAUGCAGAAAUCAAAGAAGAUUCCUGGUUCUUUCUGUGUCAGUUUGAAGAGAGUGGUGGUCAAUAACCAGAAGCCAACAAUUUUGUGAGGCACCUUAUCACUCUGUUUUGGGAUUGUCAUCUUGCAGUUUUGUUGAUUAUAAGUUUGCUGUAAAGAAAACCAUGGGAUGGAGAUAUUAUGUGACAUUGAAGGCAGCUGUGUUGAUCUG